GAUCCUGGCUCAGGAUGAACGCUAGCUACAGGCUUAGCGCAUGCAAGUCGAGGGGAAACGACAUCGAAAGCUUGCUUUUGAUGGGCGUCGACCGGCGCACGGGUGAGUAACGCGUAUCCAACCUGCCCACCACUUGGGGAUAACCUUGCGAAAGUAAGACUAAUACCCAAUGACAUCCCACGAAGACAUCUGAAUGGGAUUAAAGAUUUAUCGGUGAUGGAUGGGGAUGCGUCUGAUUAG
rnacentral:rRNA from 1 species